rnacentral:lncRNA from 1 species
CGUACCUGCCCUGAGCGCUCGGCCGAGCGCCCGGCAGGCUGCAGCGCUAGCCCUUCCUCGCGUGCUCCGCCCUGGUCCCCGGUGGCCCACGCGGGGGCACCCAGCGCAGCCUGGCAUCCGCUGGCGGGCGGGCCCCACGCGGCUCCUCCUCGCAGCGUGCGGAACUGCCCCGCGUGCCGCCCCCACUCCAGCCCCGGGAAGCCCCGAUUGCGGGCGGAGCGCGAGCCACCGCGGCGGGUGGAGCCUGCGGCCGCCGGAUCCCAGGGCCAAUCGCGCGGUGGCAGGGGAGGAGCCCCGGAGGGGGAAAAAGAAAGUGCGGCGGAAAGUAAGAGGCGAGUCGAGGAAGGCUGCUGGGAUCUGGGUCUCCUGGGCUCGGCUUGGACCAGGGCGCGGAAAGAGGCAGUGGCCGGCCACCCUGCACCCAUCCCGUCAUUGUCGCCGAGUCUGCUCGGCUGGCCCAGGAAGGAUGGGAUUUCUGUGGUUGAUGAGUCUGUGCUUCUUUGGGAUCCUGCAGAGUCAUGCCUCAGGUUGUCAGAUGCUUACAAGUACAGUCGUAGCUAUGCCUUCAGGUCGUGAUC